rnacentral:misc_RNA from 1 species
AAACAUCACACCGAAAAUCUUUGACUUUUUUUGUCACAGUGAAGGUUUAAAAAUUAGUGAAAAGUAAAGAAAGUCACAAGGUAAACUCAUCUGACGUUCAUUGUCUCCAAGUUGGUGUCUAUUCAAAAGAAUUUCCUAAUCUCUAAUGUGACGGAAAGAGAAACUCAAAAUAACAUGGCAAGGCAACUAAUUCUGUACUCCAUCUUAACUAUUGGCUACUUAAGAUGCACAUGAUUUUCGUGAUCAAAACAUAUCUUUUGGUCAAUCACAAAAUAAACAGCGCUGUCUAGAAUUUCUUCGUCAGAAAACCGCAGUUGAUAGCUGUUUAGCCAGUUCAUGGCUCUCAUCGGCGUUCCAAAACAUUGCCUAGCCAUCUUGAUGCUUCAGGUCCAGGAAGCGGCGAUGAUGAAGAUUCUCCUUGAGAUCGGAGCCCUGUGCUCGAUGACCGUUACUCGCACAGAUGGAACAGUUACGCUGCCCUCGCAAUCAUUCAAAAUCCAACAAGGAAGAGACUUCAGAAUAUCAUGUGAGGUGAUAGGAGAAGAUUUCGUACAUUGGCAAACACCAUCAAAACCAGCUCGGCCGGGAGUACCAGCAGUUCCAAGUGUUAACAUUCCAGAAACAACGACUACUGGUCCCAAACACAUCAAAGUGUCUGGGAACACUUACCAACUAGUAGUACAGGAUGUUGCUGUGAAGGAUGGAGGGAAUUAUGUUUGUCAAGGAGCAGUUAACUCUGCGACCAUCACCCUUGAAGUUGACUUUGAGAUAGGAGGGGUCCAAGCAAAACAGACCCUUAACAUUGGUGAAAAAGGAGUCAUAGAACUAAAUGUACCUGCAUUCCCUCCACCUACUUAUGAAUGGGUUAAGGAUGGAAAGGAGCUGACCUUCCCUGACCCAAGUGGAAGAAGAUCCCUUGAUGCGUACACGGGAUCAAUAACCAUCACACAAGUCCAGAAAAGUGAUGAAGGAAACUAUACUUGCACAGUGUCACAGCUUGACUCAACUGACAUUGAAGUGACAGUUUUUGAAAAGCCAAAAAUCAACAAGGCAAGUGGGAAUCCUGUAACACGAGUAUUAACACAAGGUUAUAACGUGACGUUCACAUGUGAUGUAGAGUCUGGCUACCCCGAGCCAAGAGUAGAGUGGUGGUUUGAAUGGUCAGGCAAGGAAAAGGAAGUGGAGGUGAUACACUACCCAAGAUACACACAUCCAACUCCUAAGACAUGGUUAAUUACAAAUAUUCAGGGAGAGGAUAAGGGAAAGUACAGAUGCAUAGCAGUAAAUGAAGCUGGUGAAGAUGUUCAACUGUUUCAUAUCACGCAGGUUUUUGUUGCACCAGAAAUUGAUCCAAUGCAAGAUAUCAUUGCCAAUGAAGGCAGCAGAGUUGAGUUGACCUGUUCAGUAACAGGUGAUCCAGUACCUUCAGUGGAAUGGUUUCACCAAGGAAUUUAUUACUCUGGCCAAACGCUUUCAAGGGAUGUUCCAAACAACAAAAUUGUUUCAAAAAUUGUAUUUGAAAAAGUGCAAGUUCAAAACUUUGGAAACUACACAUGCAAAGCAAGGAAUGGUGCCAGUGACCCGACCACUGGUACUGUUAUUGAAGAAGAGAAAACCGUUGAACUCCUUGUAAGAUCUAUGCCAAAAAUCAACAUACCUGAUUCUCCUACUCCAGUUUACUCUUUUGUGGGACGCAGGUUUCCUGUGCAAGUUAUGUGUAAAUUCUUCGGAUAUCCAGUUCCCACAGUAAAAAUGUUUUCUGAAAAUGGCACAGAGAUUGCAAGUGGAAACCAGUCAGUGUCAAUUAACAUCACUACUUUAUCUGAGGAUGAUUUUGGCAUUUUCAACUGCACUGCAGAGAAUGCUCAAGGAACAGCAGAAUAUUUGGUGGAGUUGAAACAAGCAGUUCCACCUGGACCACCCCAAUUUGUCUCAGCAGAGAAGACUUGCUACAGUCUCACACUUAAGUGGCAGGAACCAGUCGAAAUUGGGGGAAUGCCUAUUAUCAAUUAUAUUGUAACAGUAUUCUUUUCAAAUGGCACUUGGUUCCUGACCAAAAAUGUUGCUGGGUCAGUAAGGAUGGAAGAGAUCAAUUUGCAGUCUGAGGCUACUUAUCAUUUGCACCUAAAAGCACGCAGUGAGGCAGGACAAGGAAAAGAGGAGAUACUGCUUGUCACAACUAACAAAUUCUGUGUGCCUGGAAAACCCACCAUCACCAACACAGAAACAAAUGUUGAUGUAAACUUCAUUGUAACCUGGAGAAAGCCAGAUGAGGAUGGCGGCGAUCCAAACUUGAAAUACAGACUGGAAUGGCGCAAGCAACCUAUAGAUGACAACACAGAAGUGGGUAAAGAGGAGAAUAUCAAGGAAACUCGAUUCAAGAUUACUGGUCUUGAAUAUGAGUCAGAGUAUGAGGUAAAACUCUUCGCAGUCAACUCAGAAGGUGAUAGUGAGGCAGAUACCAAAGAUUUCAAAACAAUUCAAAGCCCUGGUACAAUCGCAGCACUUGUCAACAAACUUGGACCAGGCGCCAUUGCUGGCAUUGUGAUCGCUAUCAUUCUUAUCGUUCUUAUCGUGAUCGAUCUUUUCUGUUGCUUCUUCAACAACUGCGGAGUAUUCUUCUGUUGUCAACAGGCCCUUUGCGGUGGCGGAGGAGGAGCUGAAAAGAAAGGCGAUUAUAUGGAUGGGAAAGCCACAGAAAUGGAAAAGAAACCAAUAACCGAAAAAGUGUAGUUUGCAAGCCUGCAUUUCAGAAUGUCAGCGGAAUAUCAGCGGUGUAGCUGGAAGUUUGAAGGGGAUUUAAGCAACCACGAUGGCAACGCUAAGAAUUAUAUCUAAGAUCGUAUUUCAACUUCAAAAUAAGAAAAGUUUAGCCUUUAAUCUUUAACAGAAGACAAAUUUAGAUCCUUAUUAAUCCAUAUAUAUGAACUUGAAAAUGCUUGUUUCUCUCUCUUAGUUAGCCUACCUUGUCCAACUACCCAAAACAAAGAAUUUUCGUAGUGUCGUUAAGAAAUGUUUUGCUGUUUACCACGAAAAGAAUUUGACCCACUCUUUCGUGGAUAGGGCCCUGGAAAGAAUAAAACGUAAGGUGCAUGCGCAGUUAUCGCCCAUGAAGUUUCAUGGGCAAUUCUUGCGACGUAGAAGCAGUCCGAUUCAGCGCGUGAAAUGUAUCGCACGUGCCAUUCCCGUUGCCUUGGUAGCUACUUUAACUCUCUUCAAUCACUAGUGCAUCAUCUUCAAGGUCCAGCUUAAGAAAGGUUGAUUGCUAUCAUAUAGGCCUCUUCUUUUUUACUCGGAGGGAGGAUAACCCUAAUUAUGGGUAACCCUACCCCCAGGUAAACCUAUCUUGCAUGUAAAGCGAACUGUAGUGGGGAAGGCCCCUGGGAAACCCUAGUGAUAACGUCACCCUGCUCCAUGCAAAAGGGGACUUAAAAAAUAGGGGUUAUUUUUAACAGUUUAAACGAUUUAAUUCAUGGUUUUCUACUAUGGUCUUGGUCUUAUAUUUACUACUUCUGCCGCAAUCUCAGUUGCAUUUAAAUACUUUAUAAUUGUAUUCCAUUUAGUUAAUAUAAUUUUUCAUAUAAGCUUGUUGUGUCCAUAUAAUUUUGAGAAAUGACACCGUUUGAAAUAGGCAUUUUAUCAUUGGUAUUUUUUUUUCUCUUUAGAGCAUAAAUUUCUCAGAGUAAUCCGUAUAAAUUUUUAAGAAACAAUUUUUUGAUUUCUUAUUGAAAGAGGUUUCAAAAGUUCUUUUGGAAGGAAAGUUACCAAAACCAGGAGAUCCUCAGAGUUGAUAGAACGUCUGUGAUAAGUGGUUCUGUGCGCAUGCUCAGUGACUCUACAAGGAUCUCGUAACCGAAAGUUUUUCUCCAUUGCUGAAGAAUUUUUGAGCUAAGUCAAACAUCUUUCGAAUGCAAUGAGCACGCACAAUAAAAAUUUUUUAUCCCUCUUUGUACUUCUAUCCGCGCGAUUAGCUUUUUUAUUUUUUUUUAAACUAAGUUAUCUUUUUCAAUUGUUUCAGCUUGUUCCACUUUUGUGACAAACUGACUUACACAGUGGACAAUUUCACACUGAAAAAAAAAGAUGACAUUAUUUAAGAAUGAGAGUGGUGAGAUUUUUUUCAAAGAAGUUCCUGUCUCUAAAAGGGGGGGCUUAAAGAAUUUACUGUUAGUGGAAUGGUAACUUUUAAGCUUAACUACAAAUAAGGGAAUUUUUAUUUCAUUUUCGUCUGCUUAAUUCUCUCUUUGUUGUUAUGAUUUGUAAUAUCAAGUGUGUGUAACAGCAAAUGCUGAAAAGCUUACAGUAAAAUAUUUCAAAGUGUG